CUUGGCAAAAAGAAAGUCUGCGGAGAGGCACUCCGGUCUGGCCCCCCGGUCUAUUCGGCCGCGAGAUGAAGAAAAAGAGGAACUCCUCGACGAGGCAAGUGCGAAACUUUGUACAGAUCUUUCAAAAAAACAGGAAGUGACAUUUUUUCUGCAUGAAGGCGCGCGUGCUAUCCCUGAAAAAAGUAGAGUACACACACUGGAGUGCGAAAGGCUAUUUUCUCCCUGUACAGCGACCAGAGGGCAGCUGAAGUCCGCCACAGGGUGGCAAGAAUCCCUAGUCGAAAGGCGCCGAAGAAGACGAAUGUUUCCACGGUAAAGAAGACAAAAAACGGAAGGAGAGAAAAUCGUCUGAGCCGCGAGAGCCCCAGGAUCACACACGCGCCCCCAUCACACUGACAUGCCAAGCUGGAGGGACUGGCGCGACGGAGCACCUCCUUCUCGUUCCGCCGAAAGAAACGAAAACAAAGGAAGUACGCAAUAAAAGUGGAAAACAACGAGGUGUGCGAAGAAAGCCAAGGGAAACGCGAGCUGGAACCGACGAAACGGUGGUACUUGUCACCGCCCGGUAUUGAGGCAGCUGGACCGUCAACUCUAAGUCAGACAAAGGGAGAGACGAGACAACCGGCUGGCAAAAGAAGUUUUUCUUGGCCAUCUACCGGGUAAACCUGGAGAGCGAAACUCGUUACAGAGGACCAAGGAGAAAGGAAGCCACGAAACUCGUCUGAGCAGCUCUUCAGAGCCGCGGCAAGUUCACUAGAUGCAGCGCGUUGCUGCUCCGCCUCCGCCGCUUUGAGGGAAUGCCAACCAGAAGUAAAACAUUGACAGAUAUGGAUUUCAUUCGAGGCUCUGAAAAGCACUUCUUCAAAAGAAAAGCGACCUGCACGCAAGAAUGAAGAAGGAAACUCGCGAUGGACGCAGCGUCCGAGUGUGCGUCUUGUACUUCAUUUUGGGGGGUGCAUGCAGAGACAGGCGGAACAGUCUAGAGGGGGGAGAAAGCCGCGUACGUUGACUUCCGGGAGACUUGCACAGUUCCUCGAAAAAAUGGUUGUCCUUUUUGUUCCGAAACUUCGAAAAACGGGUGCUUUCAAGAGGAGAAAAGGGAGAAGGUCUCUCGCCUCUGCCUGAACAGACUCCUCCGUCCCUGUCUUGUCUUGCAUCGAAUCGACGCAGAGGAAAAAAUCCACAUCUUUAUUUAUUCUGGAGAGAGACGCUCCUUUUUUUCUUCCGAGGGCUAUCGUCGUUGAUAUUUCGUGG
rnacentral:lncRNA from 1 species